ACCACCACAGAGCUGCUCAAUUUGUCUGGUACGUGGACCCAUGGCUCCUGAGAGGUGGGAAGGGGCUGCCUGCAUCCGUGGGCCCUGAAUCACGACAUAGAGGAAGAUGCCUCUGCUUCUCGAUGUUGGAGGUGGGAAGAAAGCAAGGGCAGGACAAUGCCCUCCAGGAGAUGCCAAUGUGGAUGAAUUUAGCCUGCAGUACAGGCAAGGGAAGUGAGGCUCAAAGAUGUUGGUCAAGGAUGUAAUAAAGGCAUAAUUUGAACCCAGAUCUGCAGACCGAAGCCCGUGCCCACUCUACAUAACCACAGCACUGUGUCCAGGCCAGGGCAGGCAGGCUGGGGCCAACUUCAAGAGGCUCAGCAUUCCCCCUCUGUCAACUGCUCUGUAACUUGAGGACACAUCCACCCUCUGCAGGAGAAGCCCAAGGCUGGUGGUCCUUCUCCAGGAAGCAGCAGAUGCCAGGGUGCAGAGCUGAGUGUGCUGCUGAGAUAGACUCUGCCUUGCUGGACUGAUGGAUGACCUUAAGUUGAGUUGUUCUGUUCAGAAACAAAGUGUGUUGCACAGGCCCCAUCCAAACAGCCGAAGGCAGUAGCUAAUUAGAAGGGAGAGAUGGAGUGUCAUUUUUUUCUGGCAGCAAGCCCAGUGGCAGAAGUUUUUAGCAAAGAGCCUCAGUGCAACUUGAGAGGUCUGCAGGCUGGAGAUAAGGGUCAUCUCUCCAGAGUGGCCAGAGGGACUCCCUGGAGGAAACAGAAAGAGGAAAGAGAGGAAAGAUGGACUAAAGGAAAG
rnacentral:lncRNA from 1 species